UACGAAGGGGGCUAGCGUUGCUCGGAUUGACUGGGCGUAAAGGGCGCGUAGGCGGUUCGUACAGUCAGACGUGAAAUUCCCGGGCUCAACCUGGGGGCUGCGUUUGAUACGUGCGGGCUUGAGUUCGGAAGAGGGUCGUGGAAUUCCCAGUGUAGAGGUGAAAUUCGUAGAUAUUGGGAAGAACACCGGUGGCGAAGGCGGCGACCUGGUCCGAUACUGACGUGAGGCGCGAAAGCGUGGGGGAGCAAACAGG
rnacentral:rRNA from 1 species